AUGAGAGAGUGGUGGAUCCAUGUGGGUCUGAUCUGCAUCCCGCUGGUGGCCGUUUACCUGCACAUCCCCCCGCCUCAGCUCUCACCUGCCCUGCAGAAGUGGCACAGCGCCGGGGAGGUCUUCCACUUCAGAGGCAGGAACAUCUUCUACAGAGACUCUUAUGGUGCUUUAGGGAGCUCAGAUGUUGUCAUUCUGCUCCACGGCUUCCCCACCUCCAGCUACGACUGGAGCAAGAUCUGGGAUCCUCUCACACAGCGCUUCCAUCGAGUCAUUGCACUGGACUUCCUCGGUUUUGGGUUCAGUGACAAGCCGCGGCCCCACAGAUACUCCAUCUUUGAGCAGGCCAGUGUGGUGGAGGCUCUGGUGGCCCAUCUGGGUCUGAGCAACCAGCGAGUCAAUGUGGUGUCUCAUGACUACGGAGACACUGUAGCUCUGGAACUGCUCUACAGGAGUGACCAAAAUCGCACAGGUCACCUGACUUUUAACAGCCUUUGUCUUUCUAAUGGAGGAAUAUUCCCAGAAACACAGUACCCACGGUUGCUGCAGACGCUUCUCAAGGACUCGAGUUUUCUGGCUCCAAUUCUCACACGUCUCACCAACUAUGUGAUCUUCCAAAAGGGGAUCGGAGAAGUGUUCGGUCCGUACACGCAGCCCACCGAUGCAGAGUUCUGGGACAUGUGGACGGGUUUACGCUACAAUGACGGCAACUUAGUUUUGGACAGUAUCCUCCAGUACAUCAACCAGAGAUUAAAACACAGAGAGCGAUGGGUGGGAGCGCUCACUUCCACAUACGUCCCACUGCACAUGAUCUACGGACCCCUGGACCCUGUCAACCCUCAUCCCCAGUUCAUCCGUCUUUACCAGUGAGUGCCCCUUCCUCUAAUUCCUAAACCCCGUUCGGAUAAUCAGGAACACACCUCAUCCAGGCAGCUGGUUCAGAGGUCAACCAUCACCGUUUUGGACGAACACAUCAGUCACUACCCUCAGCUGGAAGAUCCCACCGGCUUCCUAAAUGCGUACUUUAAUUUUAUUCACUCUUUCUGAAGGGAUUUCUAAACGCAGCAUUCAUGUUCAAGAGUGAAAGUCAGACCUUUUUGAAGUAUUGCAAAAGUACCAAAGUGAGAAAUGGUCACAUGUUGGUGGGAAGUCAUGUCCUGAGGAUUGUAACCAGGAGAAAUGCUGCAUGAGUUUGAGAUUUAAUCAGCUAAUUGACCAGCACCAAUCCCUGAAAUGUCAUUUACUGCCAUGGAAGAAGUGAAAUGUCAGCUAGAAUCAAGAUAAUACUUAAUUUAUGAAAACCAUGAAGUUCAACAAUCUGUGGGACUUCGUUUUAAUUCCAUUUUCUGUUUUAAUCAAUCAGCUGCAUUCUCAAUGACUUUUGAUUUAAUUUUCUACAUUUUUCUUGAUGUCAGUGACUGAAAACUAAUUGUCAACUUUUCUUCAAAUAAAAUUAGUUUUGUAAGAAAAAAAAAA